rnacentral:rRNA from 1 species
UGCAAGUCGAACGAGGUGCCAUCGGGCUUGCUCGAUGGCUACCUAGUGGCGGACGGCUGAGUAACGCGUAGGUGACCUACCCGGAAGUGGGGAAUAACUGCCCGAAAGGGUGGCUAAUACCGCAUGUGGUCGAUGAUUCAUUUCGUCAUCCAAAGGAGAAAUCCGCUUCCGGCGGGGCCUGCGUCCGAUUAGCUAGUUGGUGGGGUAACGGCUCACCAAGGCGACGAUCGGUAGCUGGUCUGAGAGGAUGAUCAGCCAGACUGGGACUGAGAACGGCCCAGACUCCUACGGGAGGCAGCAGUCGGGAAUUUUGCCCAAUGGACGAAAGUCUGAGGCAGCAACUCCGCGUGAGGGAUGAAGGCUCUCGGGUCGUAAACCUCUUUUCUCAGGGAAGAUCCAAGACGGUACCUGAGGAAUAAGCCACGGCUAACUACGUGCCAGCAGCCGCGGUAAUACGUANGUGGCAAGCGUUGUCCGGAUUUACUGGGCGUAAAGAGCGCGCAGGCGGCUGACUAAGUCCGAUGUGAAAUCUUCCGGCUCAACCGGGAAACUGCAUCGGAAACUGAUCGGCUUGAANGUGGGAGAGGGUAGUGGA